GAAGAGGAGGAGGAGGAUGACGACGACGACGACUUAUGAACGUAGCCAAAGUAAAUAACCGUUAAUUACUCGAUCUUCUAGUGAAGUUUCCAAAGUGGUGGAUUUCCUCGUUGCAUAAAGCAUGCAGCAUUUCGCGAAGCCCCGGAAA
rnacentral:lncRNA from 1 species